UGACAACUGAGGUUCCUCAGGGCUAACGGAGUUUGCAUCUGUAAAAUCCCAGAAGUGACAAGUUCUGGAGUGAAGAGCCUUGGGAUGUUCUAUCUCCAUUUUGCUGGUGUACAGAUGCUCAGAUCAUUUGAUCUAAGGAGUAGACAGAAAGCAAUUUACUUUGGCUUACUGGAGAACAUGGCCUAAAAAAAAUAUUACUUUAUUUUUCUCCCCCUUGUAAUGUUGGUAGGUGGGGAUCUGCAAUUGGGGUUUUCCAGAUAAUGGUGGUCAGAAAUAAUAUGUAUUGCUUUGUGGUUUUUCAGAUUGGAGAGCAUCUAGUGUAGCUCACAAUCAGAAUUUGUGUCCAAUGACAGUGAAACAAAAUAUGAUCUAAUGUUACAGCAGGAUCAGGAUCUGAAGAAAAUCUAUGAACACGUGGGAGCACACAGAAGUAAAAACACCAAAUGCCUAGAACUUUGCUGGUAUCUCGAAAAGCUCUGCUAGAUUGCUUUCCUGUGUGUCCUCUGCACCAAAAUGCAGAUCCAAAGGGAAAAAGAGGAAAUCUACACAGAGGCUGUAGCCAGUAAAGAGAAAAUCUGCUUCCUCAGUAACAAUGCAAAAAUAAUUAUCAGGAACUACUUUGACAAGUCUGUUCCAACUUUCUCAUCUUCAGAUGGUCCUUUCUUCCUGCUGGACUGGAGGUGAACCGAGUACGUGCCUGCAAGGCUUUGGGACUGGCCUGC
rnacentral:lncRNA from 1 species